CCACCCUCAGUCAGCAGGGGAAGCAGCUGGUGUCACGCCUUUCAACACAUGUCCUGGAUGACUCUCUCCAAAGUGUACACUGAAGACCAGUUCUACAAGGAUCUGCAAAGAGCCAGGAACAGGCAAGGAGACAGACUAAGUCAGUUCCGGGGCAUGUUCGCAGAGCAGACUAGGGGCUGUCGGGCCUGGCUCGGCUCCGGGCAUCAGCAGCACUUCUUAGCCUUCUGUGUGGGCUGGAAGGUCCAUGCUGCAGCCCAGCUGUGGGGGUGUCCAGAUCCCCAGGACAGGCCUGUCACUAGGCAGGAGCAACUUCACAGGCCUGCUUCUUGAUCCUGUGAUUCUGGCCAAUGUCAGCACUCCGGUCUCUGAGAAUUGGUGGCAGCUGGAUAUUGACAGAAGGUGUGGAUUGCGUGAACCGGCUCAUCUCUCUGUCCUUCCUUGCAAGCCUGGUGGCUUGGUACAAUGGCUCUGAACACUUGAUCCAGCCCAUAUGAUGUUCCCAACUUACCUGGAGCAAGGUGUUCAGAACAGGACUAUCACUUUUCUUUGGGGAAAGACAGACCCUUAUAGCAUCUGCUGUGCACCGAGUCAGGGCAGAAGAGGAAAUGAGAGUGGAAGUGAUUAAAUUCAUAUUCCAAGCAGGUUAUUCGAUUCCAUCAAUUUCGAGAACCACAGAGACUCAACAUAAAGCAGAUCGCCAAUAUCCACUGAAAGCUCUCCUGGCAUGAGAAAUUUCUCUUGCAUAAAGCAAAACAGAUGUACGAGAGGAGAAGGCAGACCCUCUUCUGGGAGUAUCCACAUGCAGAAUUACUGCUGUCUCAGGAGCUAUAUAUGUGUGAAGCAAUGAACCCAGAGCCUGGGCCAUACUACGUCCCCC